UCAGCUUGGAAUGCUUUAUUAAGAAGUGCUCCGGGUAUAUCCUGACAGGAGUAUAAAUUUAAAAUGGUUAAAUUCUAACCAUUUUGAAAGAGUGGGCGCCUUGCUGGUCAGAAAAGCCUAUCUCGGCAUGGAAGAAGGAUUCCAGAAGUGUAAACCCUUGCUGAAGCGCAAACUUUUUUCAAAGUCAGUUGACAAGAUUUCUCGCAAACUACUCAACCUGUCUUAAUAAAAUUUUCCCAAGGUCUUCGAGACAAGGAAUUACAAGGUAUAACUGGGUAGUAUGUAAUUUUAUGAUGUAAAUCAGUUUUAUGUAUGUAAAAUGCACAUCAAAGCAGCUUGGUGCUUCGUAAAUAUAUUUUUCAUAAAUGAGUGGAAGGAUUUCCUCAUCCGAUGAAAAGUUCCAAUUGGUUAAAACAAUAAAAAAACCGAAUUUUUGUCGAAAAUCGAUUUUUCAACUAACGUAAUCAAUAAUUUUAAACAUAAAAAAAAUAUUUUAUUUUCUAAGGGAAAAAAUAAAAGUAAAAAAUAAUCUUUAUUUGUGAUUUUUUUCGCUCAAUAAUAUUGCGAUAUAGGUCCAAAUUAACAAAUGCUUUUUCGGCGAUCACUAAAUAACAAGAAAAGAAAGCUAACUUCGGGCGGAGCCGAAGUUGAUAUACCCUUGCACUUAGGUAGCAGAUUAUAUUAUUAUAUAUAUAUCGGAUCAUAUAUAGUUGCCCGAUCCCUAUGAGAAUUUUUCCAUCAAAUGAAUUUUCCUAUAUUUCCUAUUUUCCUUUAAAAAUAUCAAUUCACGUUUUGCCUUUUUUGAUGGUGGCUUACCUUCUGCUGCCACCUCCUCCUGUGCUGACACCACCGACUUCUCCAGAACCGCUCCCACCGGCCUACCGUUUUUAGUACGAUUUUAAAUGGAAGAAGGUGGCCCACAUUGAUGCUAAUGGAAAGAAGUGGGUAAACCAUAAAUUGCAGUGCCCUCUAUGCUACUUCUCUCUGAAAAAUGUUAAAGUGAGCACGAUAAGGGACUAUAUAAUAAUAAUAUAAUAAAUAAUAAAAUGUUUGUUUUAAAGAAUGCUCCUGAAAGUUUCCAUGGUUGAAAAAUUUUUGCCAUUGCGGCAUCCAAUUUUAAUGGAAAUUUUCAAAUAUUGCAUUUAAGAGCUGUAAGUGUAAUAUAUACAUAUUUAUAAUUAGAUGGUCUAUAAUAAAAUAACAAAGUUAACCGCCCUCAAGAGUAUGGAAUUCUCUGCAGAAUUCAUAGAGUGGGUGGAGAGAAGGAGCUUCACGUUGGGGGAUGGGGAGCAAUCUGAAGUAUUUCCAUACUACAAAUGAUCCUUUUUUUUAAUUUUUGACGAGUUCCAUUUAAAGGACCUCAACGUAAGAUAUACAUAUUAUAGCAUAUAAUGCACCCUCCCACUAUUCAAAGUGGAAGGUGUUUUGUGUGGGGGCGUCGAACUUCAGAGGACACUUGCAGAUUUUAUCUGAAAACAAUGACUUCGGGCCAUGAAAGAAUAGGAUGGGCAGAAAUUAAAAAUGGCAUAAAACAUGCAAUUGACCUCAUCAAAGCUGACGGCGUUCUAUAUAGCCGAUUAGCAGGGGCAGUUGCAGACAAAUGUGCAUCUAAUUAUGAUGCAAUUGAUUUUCUGAAAAGCCAUGGUCUGCCGGUCCUAUACGAUCACAGUCACCUGGUCGACAAAUUAGUCAAAAAAGGACAUGUUGAAAUUAUAUUGAGGCGGCUUCAAAAGCGACCUUUAACCAAAUCAACAUAUGUCAAUGAAAUUAAUUCUUUUAAAAGUAUUGUGGAAAGAGGUGUGCCUGAUUUAUUGAAACCCCGAUAUGUCGCCGAGUUGGCAAGUAUUGAACAUUUCUUAAAAAAUACUUUUGAUACGUUUCCGGAGCGGACGGUGACCCUCCAAUGGGUGAACUCUGAUGUAUUUGAAAGCAUUGGGUCUUGCAGUAUUGGAGGAAUACUGCAAGAGGCUGCUAAUGAAGGUUUUGAGAAAUUAAAUGACAAGAUAUGACUUAUUGACGGAUCACAAACCUUACGAUCGAGGAGAGAAGAGGCAACAACCUACUCAGCGACUGGCAAAAGAGAUGGAAUAUUGAAGUUAAUAAUGAGAAGUCCACCGCCACCACAUUUUCUCUCUGCCAAGGCAACUGUCCUUCAGUGUACCUCAACGGCUCCCCAAUCCCGCAGGAAGAUAAUCCCAAGUACCUGGGGUUCACCCUUGACAGGAGGCUCACGUGGAGGCCCCAUAUUAUAAAGAAAAGAAAACAGGCAGAAGAGAGACUUCGAUCCUUCCUCUGGCUUCUGGGUAGAAGAUCUAAGCUGCGAACCUCCUCGAAACUCCUCAUAUAUAAGGCCGUAAUACGCCCAAUCUGGACGUACGGAAUACAGCUCUGGGGCACCGCAAGCAAGACGAAUGUCCGAAGAAUUCAAACAUUUGAAAAUAGAGCCAUUCGAAUCGCCACUGGGGCCCAUGUCUAUCAUGACAACCGCACCAUCCAUGAGGUUCUCAAUUUUCCUUGGGUCAAGGACGAGAUCCAGAGAAGCAGCGCACGAUACACGCAGAAGCUACAUGACCACCCGAACCUGUUGGCCAACUCCCUGCUGGACAACAGCGACCGGCCCAGAAGACUGAAAAGGACGCACCCGCUGGACCUCCCCAGGAUAUCAUAACAAUAAUCAACCACCAUAAAUUAAGCUAAAUUUCUGCCCUAAUUAAACUCUAAUCUAGUUCUCCAAUUAAUAUGUAAAUUAUCAAUAAGUGAAGUUAAUGUCAUAACAUUUAAUGGUUGUCCCUAAGGACAGUUUUAAAUAAACGUUACCCUGCUA